rnacentral:rRNA from 1 species
UACGUAGUUCCCGAGCGUUGUCCGGAUUUAUUGGGCGUAAAGCGAGCGCAGGUGGUUUAUUAAGUCUGGUGUAAAAGGCAGUGGCUCAACCAUUGUAUGCAUUGGAAACUGGUAGACUUGAGUGCAGAAGAGGAGAGUGGAACUCCAUGUGUAGCGGUGAAAUGCGUAGAUAUAUGGAAGAACACCAGUGGCGAAAGCGGCUCUCUGGUCUGUAACUGACGCUGAGGUUCGAAAGCGUGGGUAGCAAACAGG